GACGAACGCUGGCGGCGCGCUUAACACAUGCAAGUCGAACGGAAAGACCCUGCUUUUGUGGGGUGCUCGAGUGGCGAACGGGUGAGUAACACGUGAGUAACCUGCCCUUGACUUUGGGAUAACUUCAGGAAACUGGGGCUAAUACCGGAUAGGAGCUCCUGCUGCAUGGUGGGGGUUGGAAAGUUUCGGCGGUUGGGGAUGGACUCGCGGCUUAUCAGCUUGUUGGUGGGGUAGUGGCUUACCAAGGCUUUGACGGGUAGCCGGCCUGAGAGGGUGACCGGCCACAUUGGGACUGAGAUACGGCCCAGACUCCUACGGGAGGCAGCAGUGGGGAAUAUUGCACAAUGGGCGGAAGCCUGAUGCAGCAACGCCGCGGGCGGGAUGACGGCCUUCGGGUUGUAAACCGCUUUCGCCUGUGACGAAGCGUGAGUGACGGUAAUGGGUAAAGAAGCACCGGCUAACUACGU
rnacentral:rRNA from 1 species